rnacentral:rRNA from 1 species
AUUGAACGCUGGCGGCGUGCCUAACACAUGCAAGUCGAGCGGAUGAGGGGAGCUUGCUCCCUGAUUCAGCGGCGCACGGGUGAGUAACACGUGGAUAAUCUACCCAUCAGAUCGGGACAACAGUUGGAAACGACUGCUAAUACCGGAUACGAUCUAAUUUUAUCGUUAGUUGAAAGGCGGCCUCUGCUUGCAAGCUGUCACUGAUGGAUGAGUCCGCGUCUCAUUAGGUGGUUGGUAGGGUAACGGCCUACCAAGCCGAUGAUGAGUAGCCGGCCUUGGAGGGUGAACGGCCACACAGGGACUGGAACACGGCCCAGACUCCUACGGGAGGCGGCAGUGGGGAAUAUUGCGCAAUGGGCGAAAGCCUGACGCAGCGACGCCGCGUGAGGGAUGAAGGCCUUCGGGUCGUAAACCUCUGUCAGGAGGGAAGAAGUGCACGGGUGCUAAUCAGCCCGUGUUUGACGGUACCUCCAGAGGAAGCACCGGCUAACUCCGUGCCAGCAGCCGCAGUAA